rnacentral:lncRNA from 1 species
CUCUUACAUCUUCAUGCAUAGAGGUGCAUCAUGGGAAUGAUGACAUCGCUCCAUCUUACCUGAACCAAGAACCAUUUCCAUAUUGCAACACGGAAAACAAGGGUGAAGAGAGGCAUCCGGCCAUAUUUCCUAACAAGUGGCUGCUGCGUCCAUUGGUAAUGCGGUGUGGGCUGUGAAGGGCUUUGGUAUCCGCAAAGAUCAAAGGUGCAGAGCUACAAAAUGCCAGAUGUUGCCAGUAGAAAGCAGGAACCUGGUUCUCUCCUGAAUUCUUUGAACAUCUAAUAAAAGAAGAAAGCUGGUGCAGCUGGCAUGGACCUCACCUUCCGGUUGGUGAGCUUAGGGGCGGCUCUAAUGGAGUCUGCCUUUGCCCCGUGCUUCUUAUACCGCAUGCAUUACUCUGCUCUCGCUUCCCCCCAUCCUCAGGCUGGUGUUGAGGGUCCCAGCUGAUCCCUCAAGGCUCAAGAUGCUGGGCCCGUGUAACAGAAUGAAGGCUCUUCCCGCUGUCCCAUUCCUCGGACCUCUGCCUCUUGCUUCAGAUGUCACCCUUCAGAUGUCAUUCCAGCAUCCUGCUUCCUGAAGCACCUGAGCUGAUAGAGCUGAGUCUCCCUUUAACCUUGUUAGCCCUCUUCUACCUCCCCCGUCCCGUCUGUCCUGCCUGGCACAAACUCGGCCGUGUGAGAGUUCGCGUUGCUUUACGGAGAACUCAAAUGCUGUGUAGGCAACUCCAGACUAAAUAAAA